rnacentral:misc_RNA from 1 species
GCUUAUGGCUCAUUAUUGGCUUCCCUUUUCCAUAUUUUCGAGUCCUGUUGAAAUUUGAGAUAGUGAAGAUCCUCAGGUGUUACCAAUUUGGUUUACUUGUGUGAAUAUUGCCAGUAAUACAAGAAGUUUUUUCAAUCUCUGUGCUGCAUUUUUUUCCCUGUUCUUUUUCUCUUGCUGAAAAUAUAUUUGUUGUUGCAAUGCCCAUGGAAUAUUUCCAGUUCUUUGUGGCCGAUUGAGGUGGUUGAAUUUGCCUCUUUGAUGCAGGACCUUCCAUCAGAGAUUUUAAGUCUACAUAUUUU